GGCAUUCCGAGCUCUCUGAAGGAACACAGUGUACCGCAGUGCUUUGGCCCUGGGGCCCAUGGGCUGCGGAGGCAGAGGACCCGUCAUGCACUGCUAAGAGUCUACUGUGGGCAGACACUGCUGGGAAUCAGAACAUGCAAGAUGGCCCGUUCCUCUCACGGAAGGCAGAGCUGCCGGGAGUUGCAGACAGAGGCAGGCAGAUAGACCUCUGUGAGGUCGAUGUCAGCUUGGUCUACAUAGCCACAUCUCGGCUAACCCACUGAGAUGCUGUCAUAGACAAAUUCCUUGGUGUGUCCAAGAUGUAAAGGGAGAGAGACAGCAGAGACAUCCGAAGUCAAGUCUUCCCCUCACACUGCUCACACGUUAGGAGAACACUCACACCUACAAUACACAACUACACCUAAGGCUCCGGACACUGCAAAGAGGAGGCAGAAAGACUCUAAGAGCCAGGGGACCAGCAUUCUGUGAGGUUUUGUCUCCUAGUAACAUCAGAAGCUACGCCUGUAAAGUCUCACCAACAUCACUGCCUAAACAUGACCCGACAAAGGAGGACACCAAUGGUUAUGUCAACUGAAUGGGAAAAAAAGCCCAAUGAGGCCUGAACCCUACACAAAAACUAUUGGCAACUGAGUGAAGCUGGAGCGAGAGGUGGCCCUCCCCAGGGAAAAGCACACCAACUCUAGUGUGGAAUGGUGACACAAGCAACCCUGUAUGGACUCAGCAGGCUGUAUUUAGAAAUAUGUAUGCAUGUGUAUACAGACACAUCUAUGCAUGCAAUAUCAACUGAUGAAAAAAGAGGCUACGAAUUUGAAAGAGUGUGUGGGGGAGGGGUAACUAGGGAGGUUUAGAAGGAGGAAAGGCCAAGGAGAAACAUUGUAAGGAGAAUACAAGCUCAAAACUAAACUCCAACAAAAAGAGUAAAAAGCAUGCUUGCUUACAACCCCACAAGCCACCAGCCAUCACUCCUGGCCUCUGGCUCCCUGGUUCCCUGCAGGUGGCACAGUGCCCCUAGACACCCACCUGGCCCAAGGCUAGCUCCUAUCAGAGUUAUACUCAGCGAGCACCUCUUAGUGACUUCCACUGUCACCAUCUCCUAACCAUAUUCCUCUUUUGCUCCACUCAACGCUACUAGCCAGGGUGAGUGUAGUUCGUUGGUUUGUAUUGCCUAUCUUCUUCAAGAAAAAAAAAAAAACGUUCCUGAGGGCAGGAACUCUCAUGUUACUUCACUGCUAUAAUCCUUGGGUCUGGAAAAGCACUCAAUGCAUAACAGGCAUUCAAUAAAUAUUUGUGGACUUGU
rnacentral:lncRNA from 1 species